rnacentral:rRNA from 1 species
UACGGAGGAUCCAAGCGUUAUCCGGAAUCAUUGGGUUUAAAGGGUCCGUAGGUGGGCCGUUAAGUCAGAGGUGAAAUCCUGCAGCUCAACUGUAGAAUUGCCUUUGAUACUGGCGGCCUUGAAUCGUUGUGAAGUGGUUAGAAUAUGUGGUGUAGCGGUGAAAUGCAUAGAUAUCACAUAGAAUACCGAUUGCGAAGGCAGAUCACUAACAAUGGAUUGACACUGAUGGACGAAAGCGUGGGGAGCGAACAGG